rnacentral:rRNA from 1 species
GGAGGGAGCAAGCGUUGUUCGGAAUUACUGGGGGGCGUAAAGGGGCGCGUAGGGCGGGUUACGUAAGUCGAGUGUGAAAUUCCGGGGCUCAACCCCGCGAACUGCACCCGAUACUGCGUGACUAGAGAAAGGUAGGGGCAAGUGGAAUUCCCGGUGUAGCGGUGGAAUGCGUAGAUAUCGGGAAGAACACCCGUGGCGAAGGCGGCUUGCUGGACCUUUUCUGACGCUGUAGCGCGAAAGCGUGGGGAGCAAACAGGAUUAGAUACCCUGGUAGUCCACGCCGUAAACGCUGGGUACUAGGUGUUGGGAGGAUUGACCCUUUCAGUGCCGACGCUAACGCAUUAAGUACCCCGCCUGGGGAGUACGGUCGCAAGGCUG